rnacentral:rRNA from 1 species
UGGGGAAUAUUGGACAAUGGGCGCAAGCCUGAUCCAGCCAUGCCGCGUGAGUGAUGAAGGCCUUAGGGUUGUAAAGCUCUUUCACCGGUGAAGAUAAUGACGGUAACCGGAGAAGAAGCCCCGGCUAACUUCGUGCCAGCAGCCGCGGUAAUACGAAGGGGGCUAGCGUUGUUCGGAUUUACUGGGCGUAAAGCGCACGUAGGCGGACUAUUAAGUCAGGGGUGAAAUCCCGGGGCUCAACCCCGGAACUGCCUUUGAUACUGGUAGUCUUGAGUUCGAGAGAGGUGAGUGGAAUUCCGGGUGUAGAGGUGAAAUUCGUAGAUAUUCGGAGGAACACCAGUGGCGAAGGCGGCUCACUGGCUCGAUACUGACGCUGAGGUGCGAAAGCGUGGGGAGCAAACAGG